CCUCCCCUUGGCAACCACAAGUCCGUUGUCUACUUGUGAGUCUGUUUCUGUUUCACAGAUAAGUUCAUUUGUGCCAUAUUGUACUUUAGAUUCCAGUUUCUUUACAGAUAUGUUUUCUAUUUCCUGAAACCAAAGAAUAGGAAACCAUAGCUCAGAGAUGAGUUAUGUUUCUCAAAGCUGCACUGUUAUCGAGACUCUUCUUCGCUAACCUGUCUCAGGUCAUACAACUAGAAUUUUGAUCUUUAAUGCCAAACACUGUCUGUUUAUUACAUUGUUUUCUCCAAAAUUUUGUUCUGAAAAAUUUUUUAAUUCAGAAAAGUUUGCAAGAAUAAUACAGUGAACUUUCAUAUACCUACCACCUAGAUUCUAACACUGACACUUUACUAUACUGGUUUUAUAAUUUAUGUAUCCAUCUUAUCGUUCAGACCAUCACUUUUUUUAUAACAUUUCAAAGUUACAGAUUCUAUAUUACUUUUUCAACAUCUCUUUACAAAUAUUUUCAAAUAUACAGAAAAUGUGAAAGAAUUUUACAGUGAACGCCCACCUAGAAUCUUCAAUUACAUUUUAGUAUACUUGCUUUAUUAUGUCUAUCUAUUUAUCUAUCCCUCUGUCAAUCCAUCAUAUUGUAUUAUUAUUUUUUUGUCUAUUUUUUAGGGCUGCACCCACGGCAUAUGGAGGUUCCCAGGCUAACAGUUGAAUUGGAGCUAUAGCUGCUGGUCAACACUAGAGCCACAGCAACACCAGAUCCGAGCCGAGCCUGCAACUUACACCACAGCUCAUGGCAACCCUGGAUCCUUAACCCACUGAGUGAAGCCAGGGAUCGAACCCGCAACCUCAUGGUUCCUAGUUGGAUUCAUUUCUGCUGCGUCUCGACGAGAACUCCAUCUUAUUGUAUUAUUUUAAUUACUGGUAUUAUUUGUUGCAACCUCUGAUUCCCUCUGGAAAAGGACAGAAACUGAAAAGUUGUUUGUAUGUAUUUUAAACUGCUAUCUUACCUUUAUUGCUGUCAGUUCAAGAAAUGUUUGGCUACAUAUGCUUUGAAUGUUUUGUCGUAUCUCUCAAUUUCCUAUGGGGUAUAAAGACACAAACCCUUAAGGAGAGGACAAUGCACUUGUUUCUCUUUGGAGAAAAAAAGAAGAAAAAUACACUGAAAUUUUUUCUUAGGCUACUAGAAGAAAUAACCCAGAGAAAACCCAGUCCUUGGGGUCGAGGGGGGGUGGGGGGGGUGGGGGGAGGACUGUUAGCCUUAGUUAAUCAAGAAACUUGACACACAAGUGGCUCUGAAACUUCACAGAAAAGUUAUACUACUAAAGUUAAGUAAUUAUGUUACUUUUUUAUUUUUUCAUGGUAUUUAUGGCUGUGAUUCUAUGAUAUAUACAUUCUAUAAUGUGAUUCUAUGGUGUAUAACUGUUGCUUUCUGUUGGUAAAAAUUUCGCUCCUAAGUCACAUGAUGGAAUUUAAAAGCAUCAGUGAUUCCUGGAGUUUGGCUAUUAAUUUAAACAUAUAUACCACUUUAUCUCUACAAUUUCCUCUUACUCCCUCACUCAGUAUAAAUGCUUUCCAACUCACUGAAACACCUGUUUCUUAGACUUCAUGUCAAUUCCCCAUUUCCCUUCUAGUUUCCCAUCCUUCCCUAUCAGAAGUAUCUGAGCUACUACUGCAAUUAACAUCCUUCCAAUACAAUGUCCUCUCUUGCUCCAUGUCUAGCAGUUGUGUCUUUCCUGAAAACCUUCCAACACUUGCUCAGUCUCAGCCUCCUUCUCUGAUUCUAUACUCAAUGUGCGGAAAGCAGAGGGAAUAAUCAAUGAAGAGAAAUUCCUUCCACUUUUGACCCAAAUGAAACACAUCCACAUGCACUGGGCCAUCAGGGAGGUGCUCCACUGAGAGAGAAACUGCUAGGAGGAGUGCCAUCCACUGACAGUUUUCAGCUGUCACACCUUCAGGAUCCACCACAGUAUCGUGCCCAACCAGAGGGACGGAUGCCAGGGGAAGACCACUCCUGCCCAAUAUAAGGCAUCCAUAUUAGCAACAUCUGCUCUGUCCACCACCCACCACUCCUCACCACUGGUCUGGCUGGGACUUUCUCACAGCUGCACUGUUAUCUGAGAUGUUUCUUCCCCAACCUGUGUUCCCUCCUCUUCUCUCAACACAGAGGUCAGCAGCACAUUAUGCUGUGAAGCUUUCCCUCCUUACUCCUGCUCCCUUUCUCCCUUACCUUCCAAAGGCUUUCCUUCAUAAUUGCUUAAAACUUCCAUUUCUAUCAUGGCAUCUGCUUCCUGGAGGACCUCAACUGUCACAUCCAAUAUUUUCCUAUUUCAAGUAGCAUCAGUUAAAAAAAAAAAAAAAAAAUCCACCCUCCUCCUAUACACACAAAUCCUUGCACUAGCCUCAGCUUCAAAUCUGUCUUAUCUUUUCAUAGCCUCUGCUCCAAAUUUAACUACUUUAACUUGCUCUCUCUCCCUCCUGGCCCCUUUACAUCAACAUGUAAAAAAAAAAAUUGAAGGCUUUCCUAAAUUAAGAACAAACUCCUUCAGUCCUGAAUCCCCUUGUGACAGCCAGUUCUUCACAGAUACUAAUAUCGAUAUUUGAUAUGCAGCAGCUAAGUUUCACUGGCAAUCUACAAUGUCUUAUUUCCCAUUUAUAUAUCAAUCACCCCAUGACUGACUUAUGCUUCCCCCUCACUCCACUCCAACUGCUCACCAAGGCACAUCACGGAUGUCAUGAGUGCUUUUCAGCCCUCCACUUCUGACCCCUCCAUUCAUCACUCUCCUUAUUGCUGUCUGCAGCUCUGUCCUCAGUCACACCAUCAUUCACUGUUUCCUUUCAUCUUCUUGAUACAUUCCUCCUUUCUUAUCAUACUGGUUAAGAGUAGUAAAUUAGUAAGUGUAUACCUACAGCCUCAGGUUUCAAUAUUACCCAACACAUGAACUUAAAUUAUUUGUUCCUCAAAUACACUUUAGGUUUGCAAUCAUCUCUGGGCCAUUACAGAUAGUUCCCUCUGCCUGGAAUGUCUGUCUUUCACUAUUCCUCACCCACAGCUCAGUCUGCAUGGACUUUAGAAGUCUCCUUAGAACCAUAUCCCACUCCCAUCUCCAGACUGGUUUAAGUACUGUUUUUCUGGGGUCCACUAUCUCCUAUGAUAACUCCAUUAUACCAUUCAUCAUACUAAAUGGAAAUUUUUUAAACUGUCAUUCUCUCUCUUAUAAACUGCAAGCUCUUAAGGAAGGAAAAAUAUCAUAUUUUAACUUGUUGAUCCAACACCUAGAAUACCGUCUGCCAUUAUAAGCAGCUAAGCAAAAAGCUUUGUGGGAUAUAAAGUUAUAAAAAAAGUUCUAAAAGUUUUCCUAAAAAAGGAAGGAUGGGAGUUCCCGUCGUGGAGCAGUGGUUAAUGAAUCCGACUAGGAACCAUGAGGUUGCGGGUUCGAUCCCUGCCCUUGCUCAGUGGGUUAAAGAUCCGGCGUUGCCGUGAGCUGUGGUGUAAGUUGCAGACGCGGCUCGCAUCCCGCGUUGCUGUGGCUCUGGCUACGGCUCCGAUUUGACCCCUAGCCUGGGAACCUCCAUAUGCCGCGGGAGCAGCCCAAGAAAUAGCAAAAAGACAAAAAUAAAUAAAUAAAUAAAAAUAAAUAAAAAAUAAAAAUGGAAGGAGGAGGGCAAAAAAGAAAAGAUCCUUAGGAAAUAAAUUUGUAAAUUAUCUUACAAAAUAAAUGUAACUCACACUUGCUGGAUCUUAUCUUCACCACUACGAUGGUUAAUUUUAUACGUCAACCUGACUGGGCUAAGGGGUGCCAAGAAAGCUGGUAAAACAUUAUUUCUGGGAGUGUCUGUGUGAGUGUCUCUGAAGAGAUAAGCAUUUGAAUCAGACUGAGUCAAGAAGAUAUCCUCACUGAUGCGAGUGGGCAUCCCCAAUAUAUCAAGGACCCAAAGAAAGCAAAAAGGUGAAGGAAGGGCCAAUACUCACUCUUAGCUUAGGCUGAGAUAUUUGGAUUCAGCCCAGGAUUUAGUCCCCUUCCCCCGCAAGGCCCCAUGCCAUCAUCCCAACUGUCAGGUCCUCAGACUCAAGAGGAAUCACACACAAUAAGUCUUCCUGGCCCUUCAGCUUGCAGGCAGCAGAUCAUGGACUUAGCCCCCAAGCUGCACGAACCAAUUUCUGUAAUUUACACAUGUAUAUCCUUUGGAUUCUGUUUCUCCGGAGAACUCCGCCUAAUACAAUGAAUAAUGUGGGGUGCCAGGCCCCUAAAAGAUGUUCCCUGCACAUUUCUGGGAAUCACCUUGAGGUGUCUCACCUGUUCAUGAGCCAGACCCAUCAUUUGACAGUCAUGUCUCAGAGCACAUCCAUCAUUCAUCCCUUUCUGUGUGGUUUCUUAUGACUGGUGCCUUUCUCUCCACAAUAAAGCGUGGGUAGGCCUCAUCUACUCCC
rnacentral:lncRNA from 1 species